CAGAUGGCGUUGAACCCAAACAACAACACAUAAACAAUUCAGGAUUGAGAGGAGUGGGAUCGAGACGAGAUCUGAUGCCACAAUAUUACUUGUUAUUUAGUUUUCUUGCCUAUUUGAAUUCGACGAAUAAAUCGAGAAAAUGAGGCUUACAAAGACCAAGAACUGAGGAAUCGAGAUAGAAGACGUUGGCAAACUGUGCCGGCGGAAUCUUCGACUCAGUAUGCGUACCAAUGAUUUACCUGGUUGAAGUUUUGAUUGUUAUGUGGUAUUCUUAUCGUUGUUAUGGCCCCUGUUAUUAGUAAAAGAGUUGGAUUGAUGAGAUAUGGUGUCAUGCUUUUUAGCUUAGCCUAUCUAUGUCUUUCAAUUGCCACAGCCAUCUAUAUAUUGGUGUUGCAGAGGAGCUUCACAGUAACUACCAUAGCCAUCUACUGUUAUGUCCAAGUUUGUGCUAACUGGCGAGCAAUGUUUGUCAACUCUAAUAAGGACUAUGGAGUACAAUUAGAAGAAGGUUUGGAGCAAGAUCCCCAGAAUUUUUGUCCAGAGUGCAAUAUCUUCAAGAACAAGAAAUCCCAUCAUUGCCCUUUGUGUGAAUGCUGUGUUUUGCGGCACGACCACCAUUGUUUCUUUUUAGGUACCUGCAUCGGUUUGAAUAACCAGCGUUAUUUUGUGAUUUUGUGUCUAUAUACUGGUGUCGGUUCCCUCUACCUCUCCCUUCAAAUCUUUCUCACUUCUGAUUGGGUUUUUAAUCGUUGGUUCAAUUACUUGGAGCUGUUCAUGCCGUUCGGUUACGCUUUUUCGCUAGCCAGAACCACAACUCUGACGAGCGCAUACAUGGUGAUUGUGUACAAUCUGUCGGCGACGAUCGGAAUGUUUUGCAUCUACAUGUUUGGACUUCAAGUUCAUCUUUUGUCACAAAGCGUCACUUGGCACGAAUUUAACUCGAAAACGCACGUUUCCAAAAGUCAACAAAUCCUAACUGCAUGGUCCAACUUUUCGACCAAUUUCGGCCAUGGUCUUUUUCACUUUGUAAUUCCUGUAGUGUCUGGAUUGCUGCCCUAUAGCAAGAGCAAAUGCUCUCGCGUCAAAUCUGAUUUAAGAAUUUAUUAAAACGCAGCAAAUAAAACGAACAAGUUUAAUAAUCGA